GAUUUUGGUAACUGAAGCCACUGCGAAAUGCACUAUUAACAAUUAUUAGCAUGAUUAGUGUAUUUCUAGUGACAUGGAGAACACUAGGAUGGUUUUCCUAGAGAGUGGUUUUCGGCUAGUCGUGAUCAAGAAGUCUGCUCUCCAUUAGGUGAGAAAGAUGAGAGGCAGAAAUUUGGCUGUCGUACACGUUUCGUGUAACGAAAGCAAAUGCUACUAAACAGAUAGUGAUAUGUUGAUGGAAAAUGCUAAUCACAGUUAAUGAUAUAACAAUCACCUUGGACUUACACAGACACUUAGCAGUGAAAGUAAAUACUAUAUGCUAAAAGAAAAUGCUAAUGAUAGUUAGUGAUAUAGCUGUCGCAUUGGACUUACACUGACACCUAGAGGCCUGGAGUGUUUUGGUCACUGAAGCCACGGUGGAAAUGCACUAUUAGCAAUUAUUAGCAUGAUUAGUGUAUUUCUAGUGACAUGGGAGACACUAGGAUGGUUUUCAGCUAGUCGUGAUCAAGAAGUCUGCUCUCCAUUAGGUGAGAAAGAUGAGAGGCAGAAAUUUGGCUGUCGUACACGUUUCGUGUAACAAAAGCAAAUGCUAAUGGACAGAUAGUGAUAUGGAAACGGAAAAUGCUAAUCACAGUUAAUGAUAUAAGUCACGUUGGUCUUACACAGACACUUAGCGGCGAAAGCAAAUACUAUAUGCUAAAAGAAUAUGCUAAUGAUAGUUAGUGAUAUAGCUGUCGCAUUGGACUUACACUGACACCUAGUGGCCUGGAGUGUUUUGGUCACUGAAGCCACUGUGGAAAUGCACUAUUAGCAAUUAUUACCAUGUAUUUCUAUUGACAUGUGGGUCACCAGGAUGAAGUGAGUGGUUUUCGGCUAGUUAUGUAAUUUCAAGAUGGCUGCUCUCCAUUAGGCGACCCACUCAAUGCAGAACAAAAUGCUUUUAACAUCCUUUUAAUAUGUGCUAGAUAGAAAAAAAUGCACCUUUAAAACAAAAUUUGGUCCCAAACCGAAAGCCGUACCAAGACCCGAAAUGAACCCAUCUUGUUCAGAAUGACUGACAUGCGUUUAUCCCUCAGUGAUGUCCUCCCUCAAGUUCCUGUUCUCCUGACAUCUUUUAGUAAUCUGUAGAUUAGCACAUAAGACCCCUCUGUCAACCCAAUAAAUGCAUGACUGUAUACAGUUCACCUGUACAGCGAUUAACCAACCAUAUGGAGGCUUACGCUGGAAUCCAUCGUUGUUUCCAUCAGAUUCUCACAUGAAUAUGAAUCUCUUUGUUCCCUCAAAAAACAUGCAUGUUGAUCACGAGUGGGACAGGGACCCCUGUGGGGGAGAGACUUAAAAUGUGUGUCAGUUUAAUUUAAUCAAAUUAACUUAACUCUCUAACCUUUUGCAGAUUGAAACCAACGCAAUUACUAGCGGUCAAUUGCAUAAUGUGUUGUUAGAUGCGUCAAACGUGUAAAUUGCUAAACUAGUUAUUAUGUAGGUGGUUUUGUAAUUAGUGGCCAAGUCAAGGGCUAACGUGUUCCUGGAUCAACAUCUUUUUGGAUCCUGGAACAACAUUCCAAUCAACCAAUCAGAUUUGAGGGACAAGUUUACAGUAUAUUUCUUCUACUACAGUACAUAAUUUCUCUCUGAUUUUAGGUUAGUUCAGGUUAGGACUAUGUUUUCAGCCAGGAAUGUUGUUCCAGGAUCAACAAAAUAUGUUUUCUUGGCGAAAUCUCGGUGACCCAAGUCAAGCAUCACCAGUGCUUAUAGUUAAUAUUAGUGAUCUCAUCAAACCCUUCACACCAAGCACUAACUUUUGCUGUGUAACUCGUCCAGACAUCUGUGCUCCAAACAUGAAUGAUUCCUCAGAUCUGCAUAGUAACAUACUAAAAACACCAUGAACACCUUAGUGAUUGUAUAGCAACAGGCUAAAAAUAAAAUACCUUAGCAAAUGCAUAGCAACCACAUAGUGACAUGCUAAAAAAAACAUCA